UGUCAUUAUAUGGUCAUUAAUAUAUAGUACUGACCACAACAAUUAUCAUACUACAAUGAUUGUGAUACAGAUAUCUUUGAAUUGCAAAUACCCUGCAUGCCAACACUGACUGCAUAGUUUAGCUUUACACACUGUGCUAUUUUUCCUUUUAGAAUACCCUCUACUGUGUUUUAUGUCCUGUAAGAGUACCAACUAUAUACUUGCAUAACAAGGUACCUGUAAACAAACAUUUAAUUGUUUACUUCAGCAUGUAAUGAAAACAACAAACAGAUGUGUGCUGUACUCUCCAAGCUUGAUAACCAUGUAAAUGGGAGGCUGACAGACCCUUUUGAGUUACAACCUGAGCUCCAUGGUGCAAGAGAUAAAC